rnacentral:rRNA from 1 species
CCGGUAAACGGCGGCCGUAACUAUAACGGUCCUAAGGUAGCGAAAUUCCUUGUCGGGUAAGUUCCGACCUGCACGAAUGGCGUAAUGAUGGCCAGGCUGUCUCCACCCGAGACUCAGUGAAAUUGAACUCGCUGUGAAGAUGCAGUGUACCCGCGGCAAGACGGAAAGACCCCGUGAACCUUUACUAUAGCUUGACACUGAACACUGGUCCUUGAUGUGUAGGAUAGGUGGGAGGCUUUGAAGCGUGGACGCCAGUCUGCGUGGAGCCGCCCUUGAAAUACCACCCUUUAAUGGCUGGUGUUCUAACGUAGACCCGUUACCCGGGUUGCGGACAGUGUCUGGUGGGUAGUUUGACUGGGGCGGUCUCCUCCCAAAGAGUAACGGAGGAGCACGAAGGUUGGCUAAUCCUGGUCGGACAUCAGGAGGUUAGUGCAAUGGCAUAAGCCAGCUUGACUGCGAGCGUGACGGCGCGAGCAGGUGCGAAAGCAGGUCAUAGUGAUCCGGUGGUUCUGAAUGGAAGGGCCAUCGCUCAACGGAUAAAAGGUACUCCGGGGAUAACAGGCUGAUACCGCCCAAGAGUUCAUAUCGACGGCGGUGUUUGGCACCUCGAUGUCGGCUCAUCACAUCCUGGGGCUGAAGUAGGUCCCAAGGGUAUGGCUGUUCGCCAUUUAAAGUGGUACGCGAGCUGGGUUUAGAACGUCGUGAGACAGUUCGGUCCCUAUCUGCCGUGGGCGCUGGAGAAUUGAGGGGGGCUGCUCCUAGUACGAGAGGACCGGAGUGGACGCAUCACUGGUGUUCGGGUUGUCAUGCCAAUGGCACUGCCCGGUAGCUAAAUGCGGAAGAGAUAAGUGCUGAAAGCAUCUAAGCACGAAACUUGCCCCGAGAUGAGUUCUCCCUGACCCUUUAAGGGUCCUGAAGGAACGUUGAAGACGACGACGUUGAUAGGUCGGGUGUGUAAGCGCAGCGAUGCGUUGAGCUAACCGAUACUAAUGAACCGUGAGGCUUAACCUU